rnacentral:rRNA from 1 species
GUGGGGAAUAUUGGACAAUGGGGGGAACCCUGAUCCAGCCAUGCCGCGUGUGUGAAGAAAGCCUUUUGGUUGUAAAGCACUUUAAGCGAGGAGGAGGCUACCGAGAUUAAUACUCUUGGAUAGUGGACGUUACUCGCAGAAUAAGCACCGGCUAACUCUGUGCCAGCAGCCGCGGUAAUACAGAGGGUGCAAGCGUUAAUCGGAUUUACUGGGCGUAAAGCGCGCGUAGGUGGCCAAUUAAGUCAAAUGUGAAAUCCCUGGGCUUAACUUGGGAAUUGCAUUCGAUACUGGUUGGCUAGAGUAUGGGAAAGGAUGGUAGAAUUCCAGGUGUAGCGGUGAAAUGCGUAGAGAUCUGGAGGAAUACCGAUGGCGAAGGCAGCCAUCUGGCCUAAUACUGACACUGAGGUGCGAAAGCAUGGGGAGCAAACAGGAUUAGAUACCCCGGUAGUCC